CAAACCAGAUGACCAGCCAGAUGCCUCAGACAAAAAAACAGAGCCAGAAUUCCCCAAAUUCCUAAACCUUUUGGGCACAGAGAUCAUUGAGAAUGCAGUGGAGUUCAUCCUUCGCUCCAUGACGAGGAGCACAGGAUUUAUGGAAUUUGAUGAUAAACAAGGAGAACAUUCAACAAAGUGACUUCCCAGGACACACCCCACAAGAUUCCAGAAUAACCCAAGGGCAGCCAAUCCUGCUUUUCCAGUUCUGCUUCAGGAGUCCUCCAGAGCAGAGGCCCA